AAGCGAUUCAUACAGAAGGGGACCAGGCAACAUCCAGCCAGACACCUGUCCCAGAAACAACAGAAUGACAAAUUAAAUGUCUACUCGGAUACUGUAGAAAUAAACAUCCAUUUUUAAACCAGAGACAGGAGAAGUUGUUUCUGUAGAAGACACUGGGAGAAUGUAGAGUCCUUGAAUUGGCGCAUGGAUUGGAUCUGUCACAAAGAGUAUAUCAUACAAGAUUAAUUAGAUACAUUUGCAUACUUCUUACUAAAGAUGUUCCAUAAAAGCCACAGUGUUGCAAAACAAUGCGUUUUGUGUACUCAAUCAAAUCAAGAGAUAAGUUAAAACUUUUUAUCAAGAGACAUUUUUUUAUUUUAAUUACAAUAAAUGACAUUUUAAUUAAGAACUUUUAUUUUAAUUUAAUGUUUUGUUUUUAAUUAAAUCAUUGAAAUUAUAAUUUAUUAAAUUAUAUUUAAUAUUUAUAUGAUAUGUAAAAAUCAUGGGAUGUAUUUUCAGGACAGGUUCACAUAAAAAAUUUACUGGAAUGAAAUUGUACAAAAAAAAAAAGAAAAACCCCCGUAGAAAUGUAAUUGACUAAAUGCUUAGUAUGUAGCAUUUUGUAGUAUUGCAAUAAAUGUAAUUUAAGUCAUUUAAUAUAUUUAGAAAACUUUGUUUCUGCCUUUGUUGCGCUCUCUCUCUCACUCUCUCUCUCUCUCUCUCUCUCUGUGUGUGUGUGUGUGUGUGUGUCAUUAAAUUUAUAAUCUAGACAUGCCUUUGUCUGUGGACUGUGUUGUCAAACUUUGGCUUUUUUUCUGAAUAAGAUCAUUCUCUUUUUGCUCCAAGAACUUCAACUCCUCUUCUAUUCUGUCCAGUUCUGAAGGGCCCUCUUCAUUUGCAAGGUAUUCUAAAACAAGACAAACAAACAAAAUAUGUAAAACAACCAAUUCAUUGUUUGUACUAACUAGUCAAAUGUAAGCGUGCAGAAUGAUUACAGCCAAGGGUGGACUCAUUGCAAUUUGAAUGGCCAUUUCCUGGUACAGUAGCCAGCUCCUUUUGUAUUAAGAGAGAAAGGGUAAUUAUAUUACAUAGUUUGCAUGUUUUAUUGUGCAGUAAAAUAAUCAAAUGUUGUUCUUGCCCUUAAGUCUGUAGGGCCGACUGAAUGUAACAUCAUUUCCUGGGGCAAGUUUUGUAAGUCUUAACAACUAGUCUGACCAGUUAGCAGUUACUAAAGGGAAACGAGUAGUAUUUUUCAGAUUUAAAUAAGACUAACAACAACAACUACAACAACAAAAAACAUUUUAUUCAACCAGCCACAAUAAUGUUUCCAUUGAUCAAACUAAUUAAAGACACGCUAUUUAUUUACUUACUUAUUUUCACUUUUUUACAUUUAUAUUGAUAUAUGAGUGUUAUUCAGAGUCUUUUUUUUACCUUCUAUUCUGUUGUUCUUCUUUUGGAUCUCCUGUAGAAA